rnacentral:rRNA from 1 species
AUGUCCUGGCCAUCCCUGCAGCUGAUUAGGCCAGCCGGCCGGAGGGCUCCAGGACAGAGAAGAAAUCUUCAGAUUCGAGUCACCAUGAGUAUAUCAGGUACUAUUGGGGUCAUCAGUGGCAUCAACGAAUGUGUCAAUUUGUUUCAAUGGGCAAGGUCUUCUAUUUCAUCUCUGCGCUCCCGAUGGAGUGGUAAACAAGAGCAAAAUCUUCAGGAUGAGGUACUGCACUUGCAGAGUGGCCUACAAUGUCUUAGUGAUACUCUUCCGGCAAUGUACAACAUCAUUGAUCGGGCGGAGUGGAGCAGCCACAAGCACUGUGUGGCCGAGCUCCUUCCAAAAUUCAGUGAUGCGGUGUAUGAUGCGGAGGACAUUCUUGAUGAGUUCAGGUGGUAUGAGCAGAAAGUGACAGUGGAGGGCAUUGCAAACCAAUCUCCUUUUAUCGAUUUCUUUAACUGUGUCAUUCAGGGCAGUUUCAACAAAGUGAAGGAUAUCCAGAAAAGGCUGGAGAAUCUUUCUAAUCUGCUCGAGAAGAUGGGCUUGGGUGAAGCGACACCACGUUUUGACAAAUCAGUCAGGCCAGAGACUAGUUCUUUUCCCAUUGAGACCACAAUAUUUGGCCGUGAUCAAGAGUUGAGUCAGGUGAUAAAAUUGCUAGUUGGUACAGACAAUGAUAGUACCACGAAAACUCAUUCCAAACGGAAGAGAGAAUGCCGCACAAUCAAAUCAUCAAAAAGAACAUCAGCAACAAUCAACCAUGACUGUAAUGAACAAGAAAAUGGUCUUGCUGUUUUGCCAAUAGUUGGAAUUGGGGGUGUUGGAAAAACCACUAUGGCUCAACAUAUCUACCAACAAGUGAAGCCUCAUCCUCAUUUCAAAAAUACAACAAUUUGGCUUUCUGUCUCAGAUGACUUUGAUGUCAAGAGGUUAACUAAAGAAGCCUUGCAAUCCAUUUCUGGAGAGGAAAGAACUGGCCAGUUGGACUCGCUUCAACAUGCUCUUCAUAAAAUUGUGUGCCAUAAAAAGUUACUUAUUGUCCUUGAUGAUUUGUGGGACGAUGCCUUGAAGGAGAAUGGGCAAUCUUGGAAGAGAUUCUGUGCACCUUUAAAAUAUGUGAGGAAGGGAAGCAUGAUGUUGGUCACCACUAGGUCUCAAAAGGUUGCUGAUGGAGUGCGCACAAUGAAGACAUUGAAAUUAAAUGGCUUGAAGGAUGAUGUCUUUUGGAAUUUCUUCAAACUAUGCAUGUUUGGAUCCGAGAGGUUUAGCAAUGAUCAUGAGUUAGAGCAAAUUGGUAGAAGCAUACUUCCUAAGCUAAAGGGUUCUCCUUUAGCUGCAAAAACUCUUGGACGCCUGCUAAGAAUGAACCGUCACACAACAUAUUGGAAUAAUGUUCUAGAGAGUGAAUUGUGGGAGUUAAGGCAACAGGGGGAUGACAUUUUGCCAGCCCUUCGGUUGAGCUACAUGUACUUGCCAUUCCACCUAAAGAGAUGUUUCUCAUUAUGUGGUGUGUACCCUAAAGAUCAUGAAUUUGAGAAGGAUUAUUUAGCUGAAAUUUGGGUGGCGGAAGGCUUUGUGGAACCUCAGGGGGACAUUCCAAUUCAGGAUAUUGCUAGUCAGUACUUUGAAGAUCUUGUAAGUCGAUCUUUCUUUCAGAAAGUACACGGAGCAUAUGUAAUCCAUGACUUGCUUCAUGACAUGGUCCAAAUGGUUUCAAAGAAUGAUUGCUUCAUAUUAAAAAAUGUGAACGAUUUCCAAAAAAUUCCUAAGAAUGUUCGUCACCUAUCAGUACUCUCUAACCCAAAGUUUGACUAUUCAAAGCUGUUCAGCCUAUGCAAGCAUGAGAAGCUGCGUACCCUGAUUUGCAACAUGCCCUUGGAGGAUAAAGUUGUAGCCCCUGUAAUGGAUCAUUGGUGUACUGAACUUGGGCGUAUGCGCGUGAUUAUUUGUGCCUCUACAACUGGGUUACCGGGUAGUGUUUGCAACUUGAAGCAUCUUCGGUACCUUGAAAUCUCCAGAGCUUCUCCUUUGAAGAGCCUUCCUUCAACGUUCUGUUGCCUCUAUAAUUUGCAGACUCUUUAUAUUGGGGAAUGCAAGAUGGAAAGCUUACCCAGUGACUUCGAUAAGUUGAUCAGCUUGAGGAGAAUUGAAUUAUGUGGAUUUCGAUAUUAUCUAGAGUAUCAACUAAACUGCGAUGCACUAGGAGCUGAACAAAAAACGAGAUAUCUUCACGGUCUAAAAGUGCACCGGUCUUCGAUGAUGACUCGACAGAACAAUGGGACAGAAGCACUUCAACUUUUACAACCUCCCAAUGGUCUAAAAUAUUUGCAACUCCGAGAUUAUCCAGAUGUGUCUCUACCAAGAUGGUUUCAGCCACAAAAGUUAUCAAGCUUCAUAUUACUUGCAAAUAUUGGUAUUUUCACUUCCCUGAUGGAUCUAGCAAUUUCUGAUUGCCACAAGUUAUCAAGCCUUGAGCAUUUUCUACAUCCAGCUUCUAUACCAGCCAUCAAGAAAAUAGUAGUUAAAAAUUGCGAGAGGUUAAUAUCAGUACCAACUGAAAGAUUCGUGGAGUUCCAUUGCCUUGAAGAAUUGGAGGUGGUUUAUUGCCGAAAUAUCUCCUCCCAAAGUUUGGUGGCUCCUUCACUCAAGAGGCUUGUGCUGGGUUAUUCUGGGAAUCUAGCAGACAAUAUUGAGUGCUGCUCCCUCACUAGCUUCUUCUUAUAUUAUUCCAGUCACACGUCCAUACAACUACAACAUCUUCCAGCCCUAAUGAGUUUGAGCAUUGCAAGGUGCGAGUCUCUUACAUCUGUGAGGCCAGCGGUCUUCACUAACUUCUCCCAUUGCGGGUGCAGCGCCAACAGUAUUACAUCGUUGUUGUCCCUUACGGUGCUAACCAUUAGCGGCUGCACUAAACUGUCAACCCUUGAUGACCUCCUAACACAAGAAUGCCUGCCUGUCGUUGAGAGGAUUUAUAUUGCACACUGCGACGAGUUGCUCUCGCUGCCCGGAGAAAGGUUUGGAAGUUUCCUUUGUCUCAAGGAGCUGGAUAUUUAUGAUUGCCAACGUCUGGACUGGCAGAGGGGACUGGUGCUGCCGUCGACGCUCCAGAGGCUCGUACUGGGCCAAUGUGGGGAUAUAUCUGCAUGGGUUCUCAGCUGCCUGCAAAACCUCGCGUCACUCGUUUCGCUGGAGAUGUCUGAGUGCCCGCGCAUAACAUCCAUUCCAGGUGACAUUUGGAGGACGAACCUUGCAUUUCUAGAGGAGUUAUAUAUCACCGAUUGUCCAGACCUUGUCUCAAUUGGGGGAUUGGAGGCCGUUGCGCAGCUAGGCACGCUCCACGUCUCUGGCUGCCCAAAGAUGAUAGAGAUGGAGCAGCCUGUAAAGAGAGGCGGAGACUAG